rnacentral:rRNA from 1 species
CCUACGGGUGGCUGCAGUGGGGAAUAUUGGACAAUGGGGGCAACCCUGAUCCAGCCAUGCCGCGUGUGUGAAGAAGGCCCUCGGGUUGUAAAGCACUUUCAGUGAGGAAGAACGCCUGGUGGUUAAUACCCAUCAGGAAAGACAUCACUCACAGAAGAAGCACCGGCUAACUCCGUGCCAGCAGCCGCGGUAAUACGGAGGGUGCGAGCGUUAAUCGGAAUUACUGGGCGUAAAGCGCGCGUAGGUGGCUUGAUAAGCCGGUUGUGAAAGCCCCGGGCUCAACCUGGGAACGGCAUCCGGAGCUGUCAAGCUAGAGUGCAGGAGAGGAAGGUAGAAUUCCCGGUGUAGCGGUGAAAUGCGUAGAGAGCGGGAGGAAUACCAGUGGUGAAGGCGGCAUUCUGGACUGACACUGACACUGAGGUGCGACAGCGUGGGUAGCAAUCAGGAUUAGAUACCCCUGUAGUC